GAUGAACGCUGGCGGCGUGCCCAAUACAUGCAAGUCGAGCGAACGGACGAGAAGCUUGCUUCUCUGAUGUUAGCGGCGGACGGGUGAGUAACACGUGGAUAACCUACCUAUAAGACUGGGAUAACUUCGGGAAACCGUAGCUAAUACCGGAUAAUAUUUUGAACCGCAUGGUUCAAAAGUGAAAGACGGUCUUGCUGUCACUUAUAGAUGGAUCCGCGCUGCAUUAGCUAGUUGGUAAGGUAACGGCUUACCAAGGCAACGAUGCAUAGCCGACCUGAGAGGGUGAUCGGCCACACUGGAACUGAGACACGGUCCAGACUCCUACGGGAGGCAGCAGUAGGGAAUCUUCCGCAAUGGGCGAAAGCCUGACGGAGCAACGCCGCGUGAGUGAUGAAGGUCUUCGGAUCGUAAAACUCUGUUAUUAGGGAAGAGCAUAUGUGUAAGUAACUGUGCACAUCUUGACGGUACCUAAUCAGAAAGCCACGGCUAACUACGUG
rnacentral:rRNA from 1 species